UGCAACCCCUGCCUUUGUGUGCUGCUUUGUGCCUGGCAUGCAGUAGAGUAAAAGGGGCACGUGGGGAUUAGUGGCCGGUCAGCCUAAGUGUCCCACAAAUGGCAGCCGCUGUUUCUGCAUAAAAUAUCAAUAUGAACAAUUCACCUUUCCCCUCCCCUGCUUCAUCACUAACAAGUAGGAUUUCUGGUUUGCUCUAGGGCCUUUUUUCCUAUUUCACUCAAUGGAACUCCUGCAGGCCUUGGGAGGGGCUGGGUGAAGAACAACUGGAUGGAAUUCAGCCUGCAGGGUCCAUGGGCACUGAAGAAU